rnacentral:rRNA from 1 species
AUGGUGACGGAGAUGGCGACGCGGGGAGGGGGGGAGGCGGUGUGCGGCGGGGGAGGGGGCGGGGAGGAGGGCGAGCGCGGGGACUUCGAGCUCUUCCGCAGCGGCUCGGCGCCGCCCACGGUGGAGGGCGCCAUGGCCAUGGCGUCCGGCGGCGGCGGGGAGGUGCUGCUGGACGACGAGCUGCGCGCCGACCCGGCCUACCAGAGCUACUACUACUCCAAUGCGCACCUCAACCCGCGCCUCCCGCCGCCGCUGCUCUCCAAGGAGGACUGGCGGUCCGCGCAGCACCGCCUCCGCUCCUCCUCCUCCUCCGCCGCCGGGCUCGGCGGGAUCGGCGACGGCCGGAGGGCGCCCGGGGACGGGCUCGUCGGCCUGCCCGGGAUCGACCACCCCCGGCAGCGCGGCUUCUCCGGCAUCUUCCAGGAGGACUCGAAUCAACGCGACAUGGAUAGACAGAGUGCCAACCACAACCGCAAUGAUUUCCUGGAUUCUUCUGGAAUGCAGUAUGCUCUGCAUCGCGAGACUGGAUCUAUGAGCGGCCUGCAGCGUGAGAGCAAUGAACAGACCAUGGCUGAUAUUCGGAACAAUGAGUUGUCAUCACAUGCGUAUGCAUCUAUUCUGGGGCCUUCACUCUCUAGAAGUGCAUCCCCUGAUCCUGAGCUUGUGAGGAGGGUACCAAGUCCGUGCCUGCCUCCAAUUGGUGUGAAAGUUGGCGCUUAUGAUAAAAAGAGUAAUGGUGGCUCCUCUUCUUUCCGCCGCAGUUCGUCUGCUGUUGGUGAACCUGAUGAUCUGGUGGCUGCUCUAUCUGGGAUGAACCUGUCAUCGUCGAGGGCCGGUAAUGGGCAAGCUAUGGACCAGUCUAAGCUCUACCAGGAUGUUGAUAAUGCCAAUAGGUUCCUUUUUGAUCAAACAAGUGGCAAUCAGCAGCACUCCUUCAUGAAACGUCCUGAGCAAGGGCAUUUUAGGGCACCUGAGGGGUAUUCGGCUAAUUCAGUCAAUUCUUCUAUGAUGAGAAAUCAGAUGAAUGCUGGUAACUUCACAUCAUCUGACAAUUCCUCAGUUGGAUCUGGCUAUGCUUCGCCUAGGAUCGGCGCAAGGUCCCCAGGAGGCACUUUAUCUUCUAGACAAAAUUUAGGUGGUGCAUCUAACUACCUGGGCUACAAUGGAGUUGGAAGUCCGACUGGAGCAUCUUCCCUUCAGAUGCCUAUCGAUCCGUUAUAUGUUCAGUACCUUGCUGCCCAAGUUGCAGCCAGUUAUGAUGAUCCUUUCAUGGCCGGUGGACAUCUAGGAAAUUCUUACAUGGAUUUACUUGGUCCUCAGAAGGGUUGCCUUAGCCCACUGCUUCAGUCACAGAAGAACUAUGGCUGCUAUGGAAAUCUUGGAUUUGGCCUUGGUUAUGGAGGUAGCCCUUUGACGAGUCCUGUUCUGCCCUCUUCACCUGUUGCAUCUGGUAGCCCACUUAGGCACGGUGAACGCAGCAUGCGCUUUGCAUCAGGCAUGAGAAAUUUUGGUGGUUCUUUUGGUUCGUGGAAUCCAGAUCUGGUUGGGAAGAUGGAAGGCAAUCUGAUGCCCUCACUUCUGGAGGAAUUCAAGAGCAACAAAAGCAGAACUUACGAGCUCUCUGAAAUAGCGGGGCAUGUCGUUGAGUUCAGUGCUGAUCAAUAUGGGAGCCGAUUCAUACAGCAAAAGCUUGAAACAGCUAGUACUGAAGAGAAAGACAUGGUUUUUUCAGAAAUUAUGCCUCAAGCUCUCACAUUGAUGACUGAUGUAUUUGGAAAUUAUGUUGUUCAGAAGUUUUUUGAGCAUGGAAGCACUACUCAGAUAAAGGAACUCUCUGAUCAGCUUAUUGGGCGUGUCCUUGCUCUUAGUCUUCAGAUGUAUGGAUGUCGGGUUAUACAAAAGGCUAUAGAGGUCGUGGAUUUAGCUCAGCAGACUAAAAUGGUUGCUGAGCUGGAUGGACAUAUCAUGCGCUGUGUACGUGAUCAAAAUGGUAACCAUGUAAUACAGAAAUGCAUAGAGUGCAUCCCUCAGGACGUUAUCCAGUUCAUUGUCUCAACUUUCUAUGGUCAAGUUGUGCUGCUAUCCACUCAUCCAUAUGGUUGUCGGGUUAUACAGAGGGUGCUGGAGCACUGUGAUGAUCCCACAACACAGCAGAUAAUGAUGGAUGAGAUUCUCCAGUCUGUUUGCUUGCUGGCUCAAGAUCAAUAUGGUAACUAUGUUGUUCAGCAUGUUCUGGAACAUGGCAAGCCACAUGAGAGAACUGCUAUCAUUGACAAGUUAAUUGGGCAGAUUGUGCAAAUGAGCCAGCAAAAGUUUGCUUCAAAUGUCAUUGAGAAGUGCUUAGCUUUUGGUAACCCUGUAGAGCGGCAGAUCUUGAUUGGUGAAAUGCUUGAGUCUACUACUGAAAGUGAACCUCUUGAGGUAAUGAUGAAAGAUCAGUUUGCAAACUAUGUGGUGCAGAAGGUGCUGGAGACUUGUGAUGAUCAGCAGAGAGAGAUGAUCCUCACAAGGAUCAAAGCUCACCUGAACACACUGAAGAAGUACACCUAUGGGAAGCACAUAGUCGCGCGUGUAGAGAAGCUAGUUGCUGCUGGAGAGAAGCGCCAGGGGCUUCAACCAGCAUGCACCGCCGCCUGA